rnacentral:rRNA from 1 species
CCCCAACUUCUUUGCAAAAAAAAAAAUGAAGAAGAAGGAAAAACAGAGAGAAAAAAACAGCCCCCGCUUCCAUGGCCGCUAUCCAACCCUUGAGCCCUUUCUCUAGAAGUUCCAAAUUCGUGGGCUCGGAUUCAACUAUCGUCCCUGCCCGAAUCCUGCCCAGACCCCGGGGAGUCACUCGUAGUGCCAUGGCGUCGCCUACCGGCAGCAGCCGCUCCUCCAAAAUCCCGGAGUUCCUGGCGGGUUCCGGCGGCCGGCCGGUGCCGGCCCUGGGGAUCGGCACGGCGUCGUUCCCGUUCGUGGCAGAGGACGUCAAGAACGCCGUGCUCGCCGCGUUGGAGCUCGGCUACCGCCACCUCGACACAGCCUCGGUUUACCCCUCCGAGCACCUCGUCGGCGAGGCAGUGGCGGAGGCGGGGCGGCGCGGGGUCAUAGCGUCCCGCGAGGAGGUGUUCGUGACGACCAAGGUGUGGUGCACGCAAUGCCACCCGGAUCUCGUGCUCCCUUCCCUCAAGGAAAGCUUGCAAAACCUUCAAAUGGAAUAUGUUGAUUUGUACUUGGUCCACUGGCCUAUGAGCGUAAAGCCCAGCAAACCACACUUCCCAAUGAAAAGGGAAGACAUCGUCCAGAUGGACUUGAAAGGCGUAUGGCAGGCAAUGGAGGAAUGUCAUCGCCUUGGCCUUGCUAAGAUGAUUGGCGUUAGCAAUUUCACAACGAAGAAAUUGCAGGAGCUACUUGCAAUUGCAGAAAUCCCCCCAGCAGUGAAUCAGGUUGAGUUGAAUCCAGCUUGGCAGCAGAAAAAACUGAUUGAAUUCUGCAAAGAGAAGGGAAUUCAUGUGACUGCUUAUUCUCCCCUGGGAGGCCAAAGCAGGACAUCCAAAGUCAAUGCAGUGCUACAGUCUGAAAUUCUGAAAGAGAUUGCCGAAGCUAGAGGAAAAUCAGUAGCUCAGAUCUCACUGAGAUGGAUCUUCGAGCAAGGAGCGAGCAUGGUAGCCAAGAGCAUGAAAAAGGAGAGGCUUCAGGAGAACCUCGAAAUCUUUGACUGGGAACUGACCGACGAAGACCGGUUCAAGAUUACUCGGAUACCGCAGUACAAGAAGGUCACAGUGCUGGCGAUCCUCUGCCCUGAAGGUGUCCCUGGCGUUGAUCUUUCGGAGGUUGAUGUUGUUGAAACGUAGGUGUCAUAUUGUGAAGAUGCAUGCGCCAUUUAAACCUGUAAUUUGGUGAAGAUGCAUGCGCCAUUUAUGCACUCCAAAUUACAAGGAUUUGGUGAGAUGCUUCUGGUGCUACUACCUGUGACCUACCUGGAUGAGGUUCUGCUUGGCAUCAUCAAUUGUGAUGAUCCUGACGGGUUCCCUACAGGCUACAGUGCUGGUGGGUAGCCGUCAGUCGUCACUCACAGUGUCACACAUGGACUUGGCCACAGGCCACAGCCACUUUGGUUGGCUGAUCUUUCCUUGUCUCGCGCCAGCAUCUUCUUCUCUUCUCUCGAGGAAAAAUGAAAGACUAGCACCAGUUGCUCCUAGAAAAUCGACGAAUUUUUCUCAAGCUCGGAUGGAUACUAGAAGGCUCUUGUUUGUUUGACAGGCAAGCCAAACUUCUUCUGGCGGGCGCGACAAGUCAACAACUGAGGCGGGUCUUGGCUACGAGACGGAUGUAUGGCAGACAUGUGGGCCUCAGAGUUUUUUUUUGUGCGUGAGAGAAGACCGGGCCUCAGAAUUUACUUCGAAAGUACGGCGGAGAACGAAACGUAUGGUACAGAAAUUGUCUAGCUCAACAUUGUGCAUGCAUUGUGGUGGUUAGUUCACAACUGCCUCCGCCGCACAAGGAUCCUGUUUCAUUCCAGAAACUAUUGAUGCCCGCCGGAAGAGCCAAAACCCACCUCUCUGUCUUUGAAAAACGGAAGAGCGGCUACGUAAGUACUUAUGUCACUCCGGCCAGUAUAAAAGCCGGUGGCUCGUCACACGCGCGUCCUGUGCUUGAACCACAAGACAAGCUCGAUCACGAUUCACGCGCCGCGCGUUGUCAGUGCGAAGCAGCUGUUGUGCGCUCUGCAGAGACGACCCAUGGCCUCGAGAACAGCGGCGGUGCCGGAGGUGGCCCUGCGGUCCGGCGACGCGAGGCCCAUGCCGGCCAUCGGCAUGGGCACCGCCCAGUCCCCGGUGGUGCCGGACACCACCGUGAAGGCCGUGCUGGAGGCCGUGGAGGUGGGCUACCGCCACUUCGACACGGCCUCCAUGUACGCGACGGAGCGGCCCCUGGGCGAGGCCCUCGCGGAGGCGGUGCGCCGCGGGCUCCUGGCGUCCCGGGAGGAGGUGUUCGUCACGUCCAAGCUCUGGUGCACGCAGUGCCACCCGCACCUCGUGCUCCCGUCCCUCCAGGAGAGCCUCCAGAACCUGCAGAUGGAGUACGUGGACCUGUAUCUGAUCCACUGGCCGAUCAGCCUGAAGCCCGGGCCCGUGGUGUUCCCGGUGAAGCGGGAGGACGCCGUCCCGUUCGACUUGGAGGGCGUGUGGCGGGCGAUGGAGGAGUGCCACCGCCUCGGGCUCGCCAAGGCCAUCGGCGUCAGCAACUUCACCACCAGGCACCUCGACAAGCUCCUGCCGGCCGCCACCGUCCCUCCUGCAGUCAACCAGGUGGAGAUGAACCCGGUCUGGCAGCAGAGGAAGCUGAGGGAGUACUGCGCGGAGAAGGGCAUCCACGUCGCGGCCUACUCGCCGUUGGGAGGGCAGAACUGGUCGGGCGACGGCAACGCCGUGCUGGACUCCGAGGUGCUCGCGGAGAUCGCCAAGGCAAGAGGAAAGAGCGUCGCACAGGUAGCGCUGAGAUGGAUCUACGAGCAAGGGGUGACCCCGAUCGUCAAGAGCUUCAGCAAGGAGAGGCUCAAGGAGAACCUUGGGAUCUUCGACUGGGGGCUCACCGACGACGACCUGCGCAAGAUCGGCCAGAUUCCGCAGAAGAAGAUCGUUAAAGCUGAAACCGUGCUGUUCUCGGCAGAGGGCGAGUUCACGUCGGCUGACCUCGCAGACAUGGAAAUUGUCGAGGAUUAAAAUAGGCACCGAGAAUGCCUGCUUCGCUGUGUGGCGUAAACUGCAGUAGCUUACUUAAAGAGUGGGGAUGAAUAAAUAAGUAAUCGGUGCUAUAUCCCGUUAUUCCUCUUUUCGGAUUCAAGUUGUCAGUGAAGACCGUGAUCACCGUUGCCAUCGCUCGGAAGUAUUCCCUAAUUUGAACUGCAAAAACGGCUUAUAUUAGUGUACUAGACAUAGUAUGUUGUGCUGCAACCGAGGUUCCAUACGGC